rnacentral:rRNA from 1 species
GAUGAACGCUAGCGACCGGCCUAACACAUGCAAGUCGAGGGGCAGCACAUGAGUAGCAAUACGAUGGUGGCGACCGGCGCACGGGUGAGUAACACGUAUGCAACCUGCCUUCUACUAUGGGAUAACCCGUUGAAAGACGGACUAAUACCGUAUAAUACAGGGGCUCCGCAUGGAGAUAUUUGUUAAAGAUUUAUUGGUAGAAGAUGGGCAUGCGUAUGAUUAGAUAGUUGGUGAGGUAACGGCUCACCAAGUCAACGAUUAUUAGGGGUUUUGAGGAGAAGGUGCCCCACACUGGUACUGAGACACGGACCAGACUCCUACGGGGGGCAGCAGUGGGGAAUAUUGGUCAAUGGACGCGAGUCUGAACCAGCCAAGUCGCGUGAAGGAAGACGGUUCUAUGAAUUGUAAACUUCUUUUGUGCAGGAAUAAAGUGGGUUACGUGUAACCUUUUGUAUGUACUGUACGAAUAAGGAUCGGCUAACUCCGUGCCAGCCGCCGCAGUAAAAC